GUAGGUGGCAAGCGUUGUCCGGAAUUAUUGGGGCGUAAAGCGCGCGCAGGCGGUUCUUUAAGUCUGAUGUGAAAGCCCACGGGCUCAACCGUGGAGGGUCAUUGGAAACUGGAGAACUUGAGUACAGAAGAGGAAAGCGGAAUUCCACGUGUAGCGGUGAAAUGCGUAGAGAUGUGGAGGAACACCAGUGGCGAAGGCGGCUUUCUGGUCUGUAACUGACGCUGAGGCGCGAAAGCGCGGGGAGCAAACAGGAUUAGAUACCCUGGUAGUCCACGCCGUAAACGAUGAGUGCUAAGUGUUAGGGGGUUUCCGCCCCUUAGUGCUGCAGCUAACGCAUUAAGCACUCCGCCUGGGGAGUACGGCCGCAAAGGCUG
rnacentral:rRNA from 1 species